AAGCAUAUAAUUAAGCGUAGGAAAAGAAACUAACUAGGAUUCCCUCAGUAACGGCGAGUGAAGCGGGAUGAGCUCAGGAUGUAAAUCUGCGCUAUUAAAGCGCCGAAUUGUGGUCUGUAGACUUUGGUGUUAUCUGCCGGGCCAAGUUCCUUGGAAAAGGACAGYUGAGAGGGUGAGACUCCCGUCCGCCUGGUAGAGUGAGCCUUUGUCAAAGAGUCGAGUUGUUUGGGAUUGCAGCUCUAAUUUGGUGGUAAAUUCCAUCUAAAGCUAAAUAUUGGUGGGAGACCGAUAGCGUACAAGUACCGUGAGGGAAAGAUGCAAAGAACUUUGAAAAGAGAGUUAAAGAGUACCUGAAAUUGCUGAAACGGAAGCGAAGGAAACCAGUGUUUGUUUGUUCAUAUUUCCCUGACCACUUGUGGUUUGGGCGCUGUGGGCUUGCGUCGGUUUGCUUUGGUUAAUCCCUUUGGAAGAGCGCAGUCAGAGUUGAUGUCUGUUGCUAGCACUGGGUUUGACUUGAGUAGACGAAAUGGUUUUCUUUACCCCGUCUUGAAACACGGACCAAGGAGUCUAACAUAUGUGCGAGUACAGGGGUGUCAAACCCCGGUGCGUAAUGAAAGUGACAGUGGUUGGAAUUUUGCACAAUCCGCCGGCCUCAAUCCUUCGGGAGAACGGUUUGAGUGUGAGCAUACAUGUUGGGACCCGAAAGAUGGUGAACUAUGCCUGAAUAGGGUGAAGCCAGGGGAAACUCUGGUGGAGGCUCGUAGCGAUUCUGACGUGCAAAUCGAUCGUCAAAUUUGGGUAUAGGGGCGAAAGACUAAUCGAACCAUCUAGUACUGGUUCCCCUAC
rnacentral:rRNA from 1 species